rnacentral:rRNA from 1 species
CUGGCGGCGUGCUUAACACAUGCAAGUCGAGCGAGAAAGGGCCUUCGGGCCUGAGUACAGCGGCGAACGGGUGAGUAACACGUGGGUAACCUGCCCCGGAGACCGGGACAACAGCUCGAAAGGGCUGCUAAUACUGGAUGACGUGGCUCCCGCCAAGUGGGUGCCACCAAAAGGUAGCUUCGGCCUCCGCUCCGGGAUGGGCCCGCGCAGCAUUAGCUUGUUGGUGGGGUAACGGCCUACCAAGGCUGCGAUGCUUAGCUGGUCUGAGAGGACGAUCAGCCACACUGGGACUGAGAUACGGCCCAGACUCCUACGGGAGGCAGCAGUGGGGAAUCUUGCGCAAUGGGCGAAAGCCUGACGCAGCAACGCCGCGUGAGCGAAAAGAAGGCCUUCGGGUUGUAAGGCUCUGUCAGGAGGGACGAAGCCACUCGGGUGAAUAGCCCAGAGGGUGACGGUACCUCCAGAGGAAGCCCCGGCUAACUACGUGCCAGCAGCAGC